rnacentral:lncRNA from 1 species
GAGCACUGUGCAGAGCGAGUUGUUUCUUAGCUUCCCAAAGAGCUGGAAGCAAGAUGCUUUGGGGCCCUUCUCACCCUUUGGAAAGAAGGCAGCACUUUGUGCCUUGCAGCUCUAGGGCAAUGUAGCACACCCAGAGCAGAAGUUCUACUUCAGCCAGAUCAGGCCUGCAAAGAAACUGCGUUUCACAGGCCUUUGUAAGAGAUGUUCCCGGUAGGCUGUAAGAGCACUGUGCAGAGCGACUUGUUUCUUAGCUUCCCAGAGAGCUGGAAGCAAGAUGCUUUGGGGCCCAUCUGCCCCUAUGGAAAGAACGCAGCACUUUGUGCCUUGCAGCUCUAGGGCAAUGCAGCACACCCCGAGCAGAAGUUCUACUUCAGCCAGAUCAGGCCUGCAAAGAAACUGCGUUUCACAGGCCUUUGUAAGAGAUGUUCCCGGUAGGCUGUUAGAGCACUGUGCAGAGCGAGUUGUUUCUUAGCUUCCCAGAGAGCUGGAAGCAAGAUGCUUUGGGGCCCGUUAAUUUUAUACCCUGCUACUUUGCUGUAGUUGUUGAUUAUUUCUAAUAGUUUUUCUGUGGAUUCUUUGGGGUUUUCUAUGUAUAAGAUCAUGUCGUCUGCAAACAACGCGAGUUUUACUUCUUCGUUACCUAUUUGGAUUCCUUUUAUUUUUUUUUCCUGCCGAAUUGCUCUGGCCAGCACCUCCAGUACUAUGUUGAAUAGGAGUGGUGAAAGUGGGCACCCUUGUC